GACGAACGCUGGCGGCGCGCUUAACACAUGCAAGUCGAACGGAAAGGCCUGCUUUCCCUUGUGGAUUGCGGGUACUCGAGUGGCGAACGGGUGAGUAACACGUGAGUGAUCUGCCCCCAACUUGGGUAUAAGCCUGGGAAACUGGGUCUAAUUCCCGAUAGGACUGCAGGGUGGUGCCUGUGGUGGAAAACGAUUUUCUAGUGGUUGGGGAUGAGCUCGCGGCCUAUCAGCUUGUUGGUGGGGUAAUGGCCUACCAAGGCGGCGACGGGUAGCCGGCCUGAGAGGGUGGACGGCCACAUUGGGACUGAGAUACGGCCCAGACUCCUACGGGAGGCAGCAGUGGGGAAUAUUGCACAAUGGGCGGAAGCCUGAUGCUGCGACGCCGCGUGGGGGAUGACGGCCUUCGGGUUGUAAACUCCUUUCGACCGCGAGGAAGCCACCUGGUUGGAAGGGUGGUGACGGUAGUGGUAGAAGAAGCACCGGCUAACUACGUG
rnacentral:rRNA from 1 species